UGGGGGAUCGUCUAGCGGUAGGACUGCGGACUCUGACUCCGCCAACCUAGGUUCGAAUCCUAGUCCCCCAGCCA
rnacentral:tRNA from 4 species